CGUCGCUCAACGGAUAAAAGGUACGCCGGGGAUAACAGGCUUAUCUCCCCCAAGAGUCCACAUCGACGGGGAGGUUUGGCACCUCGAUGUCGGCUCAUCGCAUCCUGGGGCUGAAGCAGGUCCCAAGGGUUUGGCUGUUCGCCAAUUAAAGCGGUACGUGAGCUGGGUUUAGAACGUCGUGAGACAGUUCGGUCCCUAUCUGUUGUGGGCGCAGGAUACUUGAGGGGAUCUGUUCCUAGUACGAGAGGACCGGAAUGGACAAACCUCUGGUUUACCAGUUGUCACGCCAGUGGCAUAGCUGGGUAGCUAUGUUCGGAAGGGAUAACCGCUGAAGGCAUCUAAGCGGGAAACCCACCCCAAGAUUAGGUAUCCCCUCCACCCAAGGGUGGACUAAAGACCCCUUGUAGACUACAAGGUUGAUAGGUUGGAUGUGUAAGUUCGGUAACGAACUCAGCUAACCAAUACUAAUAGGUCGUGAGGCUUGACCAUAACCUUA
rnacentral:rRNA from 1 species